ACGAUAUAGUGGCAGACGGGUGAGUAACGCGUGGGAACAUGCCUUUCACUAAGGAAUAGCUUUUGGAAACGAAAGGUAAUACCUUAUACGCCCUUAGGGGGAAAGAUUUAUCGGUGAAAGAUUGGCCCGCGUUAGAUUAGCUAGUUGGUAAGGUAAGAGCUUACCAAGGCUACGAUCUAUAGCUGGUCUGAGAGGACGACCAGCCACACUGGGACUGAGACACGGCCCAGACUCCUACGGGAGGCAGCAGUGGGGAAUAUUGCACAAUGGGCGAAAGCCUGAUGCAGCCAUGCCGCGUGAAUGAUGAAGGCCUUAGGGUUGUAAAAUUCUUUCGCUAGGGAUGAUAAUGACAGUACCUAGUAAAGAAGCCCCGGCUAACUUCGUGCCAGCAGCCGCGGUAAUACGAAGGGGGCUAGCGUUGUUCGGAAUUACUGGGCGUAAAGCGCACGUAGGCGGAUUAUUAAGUCAGAUGUGAAAUCCCAAGGCUCAACCUUGGAACUGCAUUUGAAACUGGUAAUCUAGAGAUCAGGAGAGGUUAGUGGAAUACCGAGUGUAGAGGUGAAAUUCGUAGAUAUUCGGUGGAACACCAGUGGCGAAGGCGACUAACUGGACUGAUACUGACCCUGAGGUGCGAAAGUGUGGGGAGCAAACCGGAUUAAAUACCCCUGGUAGUCCACACCGAAAACCAUGAGAGCUAAUUGUCUGCAGGCAUGCCUGCCGGGGAACCCACCUUAACGCAUUAAGCCUCUCCCCCCGGGGAGUACGGCCCCCAAGGGUUAAAACUCAAAAAAAUU
rnacentral:rRNA from 1 species